GGACCCGCACAAGCGGUGGAGCAUGUGGUUUAAUUCGAUGCAACGCGAAAAACCUUACCUACUCUUGACAUACUUGGAAGCUCUUGUAAUGAGAGUGUGCCUUUUGGAACCAAGAUACAGGUGCUGCAUGGCUGUCGUCAGCUCGUGUCGUGAGAUGUUCCGUUAAGUCGGAUAACGAGCGCAACCCUUACCCUUAUUUGCCAGCGAUUCGGUCGGGAACUAUAAGGGGACUGCCGGUGAUAAACCGGAGGAAGGUGAGGACGACGUCAAGUCAUCAUGGCCCUUACGAGUAGGGCUACACACGUGCUACAAUGGGGAAUACAGACGGACGCUAAGCCGCGAGGUGGUGCUAAUCUCACAAAACCGGUCGUAGUCCGGAUUGCAGUCUGCAACUCGACUGCAUGAAGCUGGAAUC
rnacentral:rRNA from 1 species